UAUUGCUAAUGCAGAGAGAGAGAAAGUAGGUCUAAGAUUUCUUCUUCUUCUUUGCGGAGAAAAAAAAUAUAUCUGAUAUUCUUUCAUAAUCUUCUUGUUCCAUGUUUUAAUUUCAUGGUUUCUUCAUCUUCAUCUUUGAUUUGGGAAGAUAAAUAUGAGGUUAUAUUGUCGUUCUAUCGUUUUUUUCAUCUUUUUCUUUUUGUGGAGAGAAAAAAUAGGUCUAAGAUCUCUUUUUCAUCUUCGAUUAAAGAGGAGCAAUUUAUUGCAUAUUUUGUCAUGGUGAUGAAUUGAAAGAGGAAAUUAUAAUCAUCAUUUGACAUAGUAUUGUACUUUAUUUUACAUAGGGGUUAGCAUUCUUUUAUUGAUACACUUGCUUCGAGGGAAGAGAAUGAAAGAUCUGUAAGGACUGGGGUCUAUCCUCUAGUAGCGAAGAAGGUAAUAAAUAAAGUUUGGAUGAAUUGCGGAGCGGAAAAGAGCAGAAAAGUAGUGAAAAGCCG